GAUGAACGCUGGCGGCGUGCCUAAUACAUGCAAGUCGAGCGAACGGACGAGAAGCUUGCUUCUCUGAUGUUAGCGGCGGACGGGUGAGUAACACGUGGAUAACCUACCUAUAAGACUGGGAUAACUUCGGGAAACCGGAGCUAAUACCGGAUAAUAUUUUGAACCGCAUGGUUCAAAAGUGAAAGACGUUCUUGCUGUCACUUAUAGAUGUAUCCGCGCUGCAUUAGCUAGUUGGUAAGGUAACGGCUUACCAAGGCAACGAUGCAUAGCCGACCUGAGAGGGUGAUCGGCCACACUGGAACUGAGACACGGUCCAGACUCCUACGGGAGGCAGCAGUAGGGAAUCUUCCGCAAUGGGCGAAAGCCUGACGGAGCAAAGCCGCGUGAGUGAUGAAGGUCUUCGGAUCGUAAAACUCUGUUAUUAGGGAAGAACAUAUGUGUAAGUAACUGUGCACAUCUUGACGGUACCUAAUCAGAAAGCCACGGCUAACUACGUG
rnacentral:rRNA from 1 species